UGAAGGGUCUGAGGCGACGCAGUCGGAGGUCCCUGCGGUGGCGGUCAGCGGGAGGUGUCAAGACCAACCAGCUCCUCGUCCAGGAAAGGUCACGAUGGAAUAGCAGAUGGCUGUGCAGUUGCCAUGGCGGAGAGACCCAGAGUACGAUGACCGAACAGUUGAUCUACAACAGUGGCCUACUCCCCAUCCACCCUGAGGAUCCCUGGCUACACCUACAAUCCAAUCUACCCCAGACAUAACCACUUGGAGCUCAACUACUCCUACAAUUCCCCCUGCCUCCUACACACCAUACUGUUACCACUUUACCAUUUUAACUUUAAAAAAAAGUACUGUAAUUCACACCAUGUUGUAGGAAAAGCAUGUUUACCUGAAUGAUUUAUGCCUUUUAUUUCUGUGACCCCAACUAUUGUAUUUCUGACCCAGUUAUCUCUGAACCCUCUUUCUAAGGGAGCGACUAAAGGGACAAAGCUGGAGCUAACCUGAGCUUAACAAUCUUUCUAAUCUUUCUUUCAAAUGCCCUAGCUUGAAUCACAUAAAAUGCCUAAAGUAACUUGUCUAACAAAACAAAAAGCCACCUAAUACCCAAACUUAACCAUCUAACUAAAGAUCUCAAAUGCCUAAACUCUCUUACCCUAAACUGAACCAUUUAACUAAACAUCUCAAAGGCCUAAACUCGCUUACCUCAACCUAACCUAAUACCCAAACUUAACCAUCUAACUGAAGAGCUCAAACGCCUAAACUCUUACCAUAACAUAGUACCUAAACUGAACCAUCUUACUAAACAUCUCAAAGGCCUAAACUCGCUUACCUCAACCUAACCUAAUACCCAAACUUGACCCUCUAACUAAACAUCUCUAAUGCCUAAACUCUUUCCUAAUACCUAAACAAUCUUUAAUACAAUCACUAAUGCCUAAACUUAACCAAACACCAAUAGUAAAAGUUAACCAUCCUUAAUCUUAAACCCAAACCACACUUGUCCCUGGGUCGCUCCACUUUGUUUCUUUAAAGGCAUCUCUUUUCCCCCGCAUCUGUGUUUUAUUCCUUGAGGACUUCAAGUACUUCAGAUGAUGUUUGAAAACUUGUU